rnacentral:rRNA from 6 species
UUAGGCCGGGAACUCAAAGGAGACUGCCAGUGAUAAACUGGAGGAAGGUGGGGAUGACGUCAAGUCAUCAUGGCCCUUACGACCAGGGCUACACACGUGCUACAAUGGCGCAUACAAAGAGAAGCGACCUCGCGAGAGCAAGCGGACCUCAUAAAGUGCGUCGUAGUCCGGAUUGGAGUCUGCAACUCGACUCCAUGAAGUCGGAAUCGCUAGUAAUCGUGGAUCAGAAUGCCACGGUGAAUACGUUCCCGGGCCUUGUACACACCGCCCGUCACACCAUGGGAGUGGGUUGCAAAAGAAGUAGGUAGCUUAACCUUCGGGAGGGCGCUUACCACUUUGUGAUUCAUGACUGGGGUGAAGUCGUAACAAGGUAACCGUAGGGGAACCUGCGGUUGGA